AUGGGGAUAAAACAAAGUGAACUAUUUCUCAGAAGGGAAUUUUCCCCGGAAGACCCUCCACCAGGAGUCACCGCUCGUCGGGUCUCCGCCCCCUCUUUCUCCGCUCCCCCGAAUCAGAACUCCGACCUCCGACCUCCGGAGUCGCGCUCGGCGACGGCGCUGCCCUGCCACCUCGAGCAAGCAAGAGAGAUGUCUCUAAUCCGAAUAGCUUUUUCUUUGGUCCUCCUCCUCGCCGCGGCGGAGUCCGUGGCGGCGACGCGCUCACCGUCGGCCUUCGUGCAGAACGCCAUCUACUCCAACCGCAUCACCAUCUUCUCCAAAUCCUACUGCCCGUACUGUAUGCGUGCUAAGCGAAUAUUUAAAGACCUCAAUGAAGAUCCUUACGUUGUUGAACUUGAUCUCCGAGAGGAUGGCCGAGAAAUUCAAGGUGUUCUUCUAGACCUAGUUGGGCGCAAUACUGUGCCACAGGUGUUUGUGUAUGGCCACCACGUUGGUGGCUCAGAUGAUACAAAAACUGCUCUUUCAGACGGACAACUUCAGAAACUUCUUGGUAAGAGUCAGUCGCAGUGA
rnacentral:rRNA from 1 species